rnacentral:lncRNA from 1 species
CUCUCCGCAAGCUUGCUUGCAGUCUCCUCCUCUCCCUGGGAUGCCCGUGGAAACACAGAAACAGUAAAAAGAGAAAUGAUAGCUCUUACUGCAUUUUUGGGCUUGGCACUGGCUGUAAUACCCAUGGCCCUUAGCAUCCUAUCUGCUGUUUCAUCCACUGCAGCAGCUGCGAAGAGUUUGCAUUUCAUGGUGGAGUUUAAAGUUUGCCCUAAGUGAUGCUGUGAACUCUUGUUGAGAAAGAUCUUUCCUCCCAUGUUAUGUAAAUGAACACGUGUUCCUGUGCUCUCAACCUGGGUGAAGCAAAUGCUCCGUCGUGCAACAGUGUGGUCUGAAAAUGUGACGCUGUGUGUGGCCUGGGUCUUCUGAUCAGCCUGUUGAUCUGCUGAGAAACCACUUUUGAAGACUGGCGAGCGUUAUAUAACACUGGAUUUGAACUCCCAUUUAGAAAAUGGGAGCAGAAGAAACGGGCAAAUAUCACUGAUCUUGACAAAUUUGAGUGGAGCAGCGAGCAGGACCCUGCGUGGGCUGAAAGCGCUCGCUCYUGCGCAGUGCUCGGCAGCAGGGGGGAGGAAGGGUUUAACCAGGCGUCCGGACCUGCCCAGACCCGGGACUAUUGAACCACCGUUUGGUAGAAAUGCAGCUUUGCUUAAUUUUCUCAUAUUUUUUUUGUGUGCUUAAUUUAUUAAAAUAGUUGCUGUAUAAUUUAUUUUCAUAAA